rnacentral:rRNA from 1 species
GGAAUUGACGGGGCCCGCACAAGCGGUGGAGCACGUGGUUUAAUUCGAUGCAAACCGAAGAACCUUACCUGGGUUUGACAUGCAGGUGGUAGAGAGAAGAGAUUUAAUCGACUCUGCAGUAAUGCAGAGAGCCUGCACAGGUGCUGCAUGGCUGUCGUCAGCUCGUGUCGUGAGAUGUUGGGUUAAGUCCCGCAACGAGCGCAACCCUUGCCUUUAGUUGCCAGCAGUUCGGCUGGGCACUCUAAAGGGACUGCCGGUGUUAAACCGGAGGAAGGUGGGGAUGACGUCAAGUCCUCAUGGCCUUUAUGACCAGGGCUACACACGUACUACAAUGGCCGAUACAAAGGGCAGCGACACUGCGAGGUGAAGCCAAUCCCGUAAAAUCGGUCUCAGUCCGGAUUGGAGUCUGCAACUCGACUCCAUGAAGUUGGAAUCGCUAGUAAUCGUGGAUCAGCAUGCCACGGUGAAUACGUUCCCGGGCCUU